AUCAACGACACCAUACUAAAAGGCCUAGAAUCAAACAAUACCAAGCCAUUCUGGAAAUACAUCAAAUCCAUAAAAAAAUGAUAACAUUGGAGUAGCUCCAUUAAAAAACAAAGGGAAACUCAUCAGCGACAGUAAAGGGAAAGCUGAAAUACUAAUACAGCAAUUUAAAUCAGUUUUCACAAUAGAUAAAUCCACAACAAUACCAGACACAACAAAGCAUAUUGAGGAAACCAUACCAAACCUCAUAAUAACAGAAAAGGGACUAGAAAAACUGCUAAAAGAUGUCAACCCAUCAAAAGCUUCUGGACCGGAUGGAUUCCCAAACAGAAUUUUGAAAGAAUGUGCAAGCCAAAUUUCAC
rnacentral:lncRNA from 1 species